GAGGAAGCCAGUUGAGCUGGAGGAGGAUGGGAGACAGUAGGAGAAGAGCUUGUUGUAUUUUCGUGAGGUUUGUGAGACCAAUGAUAAUGGGUCGCGGCCCAGACCAAGUAGGCCGGCAGAGCCCCCGAAGAGACCCUGGUUAUUUUGGCCGCAGCCGAAAUAGAAGUUGUCGAAAGCUUCAGUUGGGGUUAAAGUGAGCCUUUC
rnacentral:misc_RNA from 1 species